GACGAACGCUGGCGGCGUGCUUAACACAUGCAAGUCGAACGGAAAGGCCUCUUCGGGGGUGCUCGAGUGGCGAACGGGUGAGUAACACGUGGGUGAUCUGCCCUGCACUUUGGGAUAAGCCUGGGAAACUGGGUCUAAUACCGGAUAGGACUACGAAUCGCAUGGUUUGUGGUGGAAAGCUUUUGCGGUGUGGGAUGGGCCCGCGGCCUAUCAGCUUGUUGGUGGGGUGAUGGCCUACCAAGGCGACGACGGGUAGCCGGCCUGAGAGGGUGUCCGGCCACACUGGGACUGAGAUACGGCCCAGACUCCUACGGGAGGCAGCAGUGGGGAAUAUUGCACAAUGGGCGCAAGCCUGAUGCAGCGACGCCGCGUGAGGGAUGACGGCCUUCGGGUUGUAAACCUCUUUCAACGCCGACGAAGCGGAAGUGACGGUAGGCGGAGAAGAAGCACCGGCCAACUACGUGCCAGCCGCCGCCGUAAAAC
rnacentral:rRNA from 1 species